rnacentral:rRNA from 1 species
ACAUGCCUACAAUUUAGAAUUAGUGCAUCAGAUCCCAUUAGUACUCUGCAGUGAAUCACGCUCAGGCUAGAGUAGUACUUGGAUGGGUGACUUCCUGGGAAGUCCUAGUAUUUUACAUGCC